rnacentral:rRNA from 1 species
AGAUUGAACGCUGGCGGCAUGCUUUACACAUGCAAGUCGAACGGCAGCGCGGGGCAACCUGGCGGCGAGUGGCGAACGGGUGAGUAAUAUAUCGGAACGUACCCAAGAGUGGGGGAUAACGUAGCGAAAGUUACGCUAAUACCGCAUACGAUCUAAGGAUGAAAGCAGGGGACCGCAAGGCCUUGUGCUCCUGGAGCGGCCGAUAUCUGAUUAGCUAGUUGGUAGGGUAAAGGCCUACCAAGGCUACGAUCAGUAGCUGGUCUGAGAGGACGACCAGCCACACUGGAACUGAGACACGGUCCAGACUCCUACGGGAGGCAGCAGUGGGGAAUUUUUGGACAAUGGGCGCAAGCCUGAUCCAGCAAUGCCGCGUGAGUGAAGAAGGUCCUUCGGGUUGUAAGUCGUCUUUUUGUCGAGGUAAGAAACGGUGGAGACUAAUAUACCUUACUAAUGUACGUACUAGAAGAAUAAG